UGUGUGACAAUCUGAAGUUCCUCUGUUUUCUUGUACUACAAGAGUUCUGACGAUUUGUACUGCUUGGCUGCAAAUUUAUGCUGUUUGCAUCACCAUACGGAUAGUGGUAAGAAUGCAGCAGCAAAUCUGACAGUAUUUCACCAAUGGUAAUCUUGCUUUCUUUUAUGGUUGCAGGUUGGGUUUGUUCUUCUGGCAUCACUCAUGGUUCUCAUCAUAGCCUUACGGAAUGAUGGCAAGUGGCAUCUCUAAAUUUAUCAUAUGAAUUAUGACUUGCUUCGCUACUGACCUGUUGUGUGGGAAGGGUAUCCUUUUACCAGAGAUAUAGAUUUUAAAUAUGCUCCAUUUCGUUCAGGUCUUUGUUCUCUCUAUCCUUUUACCAGAGCUAUAGAUUUUAAAUAUGCUCCAUUUCCUUAGGUCUUUGUUCUCCAUCCUUGAUUUAUCUGAGUCCACUGGGGCUUCCCAUGAAUUACAGAAUUUAGGCUUACAGUAGGAUGAACUUCCUUCAGAAUCAACAAUAGAAAAGUUUUGGUUAAUAGCAAUUUUCAACAGUCAACACCCUAUAUAUAUUUUUUCAUAUGUUUGGGUUUUGGCCUGUAUGCUUUGUUUGCCUAUAUUCUCUGUUUGGAACCUUCUAUUCUCUUUUUGUCAUGGUCUGAAUUAAUGGAUAAUCUUUUUGUCUCUUUAGCAUGUAGUCCUCAUGUUACAAGGUGUGUGGGCAAACACUGCACUGUAGGCGAUCAAGUCUUUGCAAGAUAGAAUGUGUUCUUUUAUUUUGGGCUUACAAUGGCGAGUAAUCAACAGUGAGGAGCAUGCAAGUAUGGACUUCGUAUGAGAGGCUAAGAUGGGCAUGGCUACAUGGAUCAUGGUAGUUGGUUUUGCUAGAUUUCAUGCUUCUAUCUAUCCAUGCUAUCUCCAGCAAUGCGUACUUUUUUCAUGUAUCUUCCAAUUGGCUAGAGACUUGGAAUAACCAAGGGAACUUUCUCCGUUUUGUGUUUUCACUCUUCUCAGAAUUUAUGCUAGGUGUAUAGACAUGUAUGCCAUCAAACCCAUUAACCAUCGCGCAAGGGGCGGAUGCUGGGCUAUGCCACGUAGCGAUAUUUACUGUCAUAGAUAUUGCUUGUUUACUCGAGAUAACACCUCCCCUUACUGUGCAAUGUUGACAGAUAGAAAGAACAGGGAAAACGCGUGGAUUAGCUAGGGCCCCUUCCAUCUCUCACAGGCAGCCUGCUCUCCUCAGUCCCCACCUAGGGUUGCCGCCGUUGCCGCCCCAUCGCUCCUCCGGUUCCCCGGUACCAAGGUGCGGCUCUGCGCCUCCCCACGACCCUGGCGGCAAGAGGUCGGCAAGAGGUAGAAGGUAGCCGGUGCCGCGAGCUCUCGUCCCGAGCAAGCCACGGGAGGACGAGGUCGAUGUGGUCGUCGGUGCCUCCUCGCCACGGGAGGCCAUGAGCGAGAGGAAUGAGGCGUCGUCAGCUCCGCGCCCUCGCCCAUGACACCUGGUCCCGCUUCGCCUCCAGUCCAGUCACACUACCCCCGCCCCACGACGCCGUUUGCGUCGAUCUGAAGCCCCUCGACGGCAACGAACCUCGCACCGUCGGGCUCCACGGCCUACUCACCCUCCCCUGCCCCAGGCUCAGCCUUUGAUUGUGUUUUCGCUGGAUGUCGUGGAGCGCGCGUGAGGUGCUCCACUGAUUGAUUGUGUCCUGCAAGAGUCAUGGACCACGAUGGUGGGUCAGGUGACGGGGUUGUCGCUUUGCACGGGUACGCUCGGGACGGUGCUCCUGCUGUUCAUGUUUCGCUCGGAUUGAUCUUUCCCAUGGAGGUAGUACCGGAGCUGUUGCUUCUCUUUGUGUUUUUUUAGGGUUCCUGUGAGUUGAGCUGGUUGUUUGUUCUCAUUCCCGGAUCGAGCAAUGGGUGUUCCUUUUAGUUUCAUCCAAGUUGAACUUCGUCUGCCAUUGAGGAUUUCUGUGAUUCGCGGCGGUGUUCAUGUUCAGAUUGUGGCAUGAUGAUGACUAUGGCACAGGUGGUCAAGGGCAUGGUUAUGUCCUGGGAGCUCAUUUCGAUGACGGCGACCGUUUGCUUGCCUACUAUGGCGGCCAGCACGAUUUGGAGGUUAGAAGGUUGUAGGUCAUAACACCCAGGAGACAACAGUUAUUCAUCACACAUUUGGUGGUCGUCAGCAAUCUUGGGUCCCCUUUGUUUUCAUGUUUGAUUUAAUAUUUCAAAUUAUAAUCAAUGAGUCUGCCUUUCUGAUCGCUCUAUUUUUAAUCAGCUCUAAAUUCUUAAGGGAUCUGUCUUCCAGUAUGCAUAUGUUACAAUUCAUCAAAUGCCUUAGUUUUGAAUGGGAUGUGCAGGUUCAAUGUACUGCAUGUGGAAUGGUCUCAAAUCGCUAUGAGAAUAUGACGGAUGGACUUGACUGUUGAAAUUUAGUUCAUUGAUGUAGAGUGGCUUUAUGGGGACAAUAAGUCCAAAUGUGAUUUACCGCAUCUAUACACUUCUGUUACUUAGCAACAAAUGUUACUGGUUCAUAUUUUGAUAUAAUAUUUAGAGAUUAUCUUUCUUUGCCAUACAUGUUAUGCUUAAGUUCUUAGAAACAAAAUAAAAAAUAUUUUCAUAAAGCCAUUAAGGAACAAAAAAAACUGAAAUCCUUAUUAAUAGCAACAUAAUGACAUCUAAAUCUGUACAUAUAGUUUUGGUAAUCUCUUCUAGAAACAAUCUGUAGAUUGUUACAUCAGGUUAAAACUCUAUGUACUUAUUGCUGCUGUACACAAGCUGUUGACCUUGCUCUGUUUUCUUUCUUGGUUGAAUUUGCAGACUAGGACACACAUCCUGCUACAUCCCAAAGUUUUUUUUUUCGGACAUAGUGAUGCUGAAAGAAUCAGAAAAUUCAGUGUUAAUCCUAAUAUAGGACAAUUUUUUGAAUUUUUGCUGUUGUUGGUCGUCGUCACCGCUCCUUCCCUCCACGUCAAAGACCUUAUGGUCGAGCUCGUCUCAUGGUAGUCGCCGAGCUCAUCUGGAUUGAAGAUCUAUGUGUGCAAUUUGGUUUGAAUAUCGCCCUUCCUUGAUGUACCCUCUCUCUCCUACCCACCAUGGGAAUUUUUGGCACAUAUUCGAUCCAGAUGCAUGAGUAUUGCUGAGAUCUUUCGAUGAUUCUGCUAGCACUUUAAUAUGGACCUCUGGAAUAUUGUUUUGAUUUUGUUAGCACUACCAUGCACUGAUUAGGUCACUUGUUGAGUUAUUCCAGAAUCUAUUAUUCUUUUUUGCAUUGAGUUUCUUUGGUUGAAACUGUCACCUGUGCCUAUGUCUAAUAAUUCUUAAAUAUAUCAAUAUAUCUGCUCCGUCUACAGAGAAUAGGGGGCUGCUCGGGCAUGGAGCAGCCGGGCAUGUCAAUAUAGUUUGGAGUCUGGGAAAGGGAGUGUUCUGCACCUAGGUAAAUUAGCAACACAGUACACCUACUUCUCAAAAUAUGCAUGUUUGGAGAUUAGUUUUUAUUUUCUUCGGAUCUCUAUAGAAUUUUUGUCUGAAUAACUAAAAGUAUUUAUUCACACUACUUUGAUUUCUGAAAAUUUCGGUCUUUAAAGAUAUAUUCCAUUUUCUUUCAGAAUAGGAUGCACUUUCCUUACAGGACAGACAACAUGGAUAAGAAUGUGUACAUAGCAUCUUUUUAUGCAUAGAUUCAAGCUUAAGGCUUUGGACAGGUUUGAGGAUACAUCUGGUCCCUUUGAUUGUGGCUUCAUAUUUUUCAGCAAGUCUAGCAUGGUGUGCACAGGUUUUUGCAGAAACAUAGUACAGAUGGAAAUGUGACAAGAGUGAAGCUGCCAGUUAGAAAAUUGACUAUAAGUUGGCUGCCAUGGACAUGCAAAUUCAGACAUGCUCUGACAGAACUCUGUUUCAUGCAAAUUCAGAUAUGCUUUGCAUUUUUUUGUAGGAAUUUUAAGCUCUAAAGAAAUAAUUAUUCAGACUGCAAGUUUUUUGUUUUGGGUUUCACAAAACUGGACAGGCCUGUUUGCAGGACAACAACAUCUAUAAUGUAGAAAGUCGAUCCAUCGUGCAAAGAUUUGGUUCGUUUGCAAAGAGCAGUUAAUCUGCAUCAGGGACACAGAGUUUAUAUUGCAUCAUCUGUUGUUACUGCAUCGUUGCUCCCUAAUCCAAGCAAUGAAAUUAUUCAUCUGUCAUCUCACCAGGAAGAGGACAUGUCUUAGAAUCCACCAUGUCAAGAACUGGUAGCCAAAGAUCUCCAUGGAACAGGGUGGCAUUUUCGUCUCAUAUUUCGUGGUGAUUUUAUUUUACAAUUAGAGCAUUCAACUUGAAUACCCUUUAAACUUUCCGCCGAUAUGCUCGUAUUGUUUUGGUGUAGCACUUCAUGUCACAAUUGAAUGUUGAAUUCUUACCGCAGAAACUUGCAGCAUAUACUAAUUCAUUAGUUCAUGAGUA